rnacentral:rRNA from 1 species
UACAGGGGGGGCAAGCGUUGUUCGGAAUUAUUGGGCGUAAAGGGCGCGUAGGCGGUGCGGUAAGUCACCUGUGAAACCUCUGGGCUUAACUCAGAGCCUGCAGGCGAAACUACCGUGCUGGAGUGUGGGAGAGGUGCGUGGAAUUCCCGGUGUAGCGGUGGAAUGCGUAGAUAUCGGGAGGAACACCUGUGGCGAAAGCGGCGCACUGGACCACAACUGACGCUGAGGCGCGAAAGCUAGGGGAGCAAACAGG